rnacentral:lncRNA from 1 species
UGUCAGAAUAGUAUAAAUGAAACCACAUGAUCACAUUUUCAUAUUGGUCACGUUCUGCAAGAAAAACCUGAUCACCUUUUAGAACGUAUCAUACCAGAUGGGAACGUUUAGACACAAAUUUGAAACUAUACACCAGUGACCUAUUCAAAUAGUGCCCAAAUUAAGUUCCAAUUGCCGAUUUGGCAUACCGGUAUUAGUCUCAGAAAAUGUUUUUGCAAAAGUAAAGAUGACAACAGGCAGUGCCAAGUAAUGAGAAAUUAAAGGUUUAC